CUGCAGCCGGCGAACCAAGUCGCGGCUCAAUGGCUGCCCUGUAAUGGCUCCGACGCUCUUUGAAACUUUCAUCGGCGUGGAAAAACGCUCCGAACCCGAGGCGUACUUCUCCGGUCGAUCAACGAAAUAAUUUCGCGGAUACCGGGUCCACGAAGAAUCCCCCGGCGCGGCGCGUUCCUAUGUUCUCGACGCUGGAAAAAUCUUGUGAUCAGAAAGACGUUAAACCUGCAAAAUCGAAGAAGCGCGUUCAUUGCGACGGUGAGUUCAUUGUUUCCUCGUGCAGGAUGGCUCGGCGACAAUUGUGCGCCGACAUCUCGCUGAAAUUUGAUUCGACCGGCGGAUCUCCGGACCGGAGGAGCAAAGAAUAAUACGCUAACUACAAAAAAAGAAAGAGAUUCAAUGGAAUCCGUUUCAUCCGUGAUUGAUGGUCCUAAGGUAUGAAUAAUUAUCCAUGGAAACGGGGGGAUACGAAGCGAUGAUCGACAGAAGAAAAGCCGUGGAUCGUGUACCCCGUGUCCCAAGCCGACGUUCCGUGCAUAACUUAUAUUUUCUUCGUUGCGAAUGAAAUUGUCAUCGAAUAAAACUAGAUUCUCGUUCUUUGAAAGUGCGAGAUUAAUUUUAGGUUGCGCUUGUUCGUCGCUGAAGAUAUGAUAUAUAAUUCUGACCCACGUGGAAUUUGGACUUGGAAUUAAUAAAAAAAGAUGCCGUCUUACGGACAUGCCGGCAUGAAGAAGAACUUCAUUGUCACAAUUGAGAAAUAAAUUUUGAAAUAUUUGCAGAUACGCGCAUGAACA